UACGUAGGGUGCAAGCGUUGUCCGGAAUUAUUGGGCGUAAAGAGCUCGUAGGCGGUCUGUCGCGUCGGCUGUGAAAACUUGGGGCUCAACCCCAAGCCUGCAGUCGAUACGGGCAGACUAGAGUCCGGCAGGGGAGACUGGAAUUCCUGGUGUAGCGGUGAAAUGCGCAGAUAUCAGGAGGAACACCGGUGGCGAAGGCGGGUCUCUGGGCCGAUACUGACGCUGAGGAGCGAAAGCGUGGGGAGCGAACAGG
rnacentral:rRNA from 1 species